GGAUAAGAGGCAGCCACAGCCCUGGGAAAGUUUCUGGGAAAGCAGAGGUUGCCGUUUGCAGGAGUGGAUGGGACUGUGCGCUGAUCACACACUGUAGCCACACUGGCUUUCUGCUGUUGGGGGCAGUCUGACCCCUCUAUGUAUGGCUGCUGACCUUGGUGCCACAACAUAAAGAAUUCAGAGAGCAUUGCACUGGACAGUCUUUGUCUUGGUCUCCAUGCCCUCAGAGAACAACAUUAAAAAACUGGAAGAAAUCCUAUAAUCACCUAGCUCCUCCCUGCAUCCCACUUACCUAGAUGACGAUAUGCAGAGUCAGCAAGUUUGUGGUGUUCAUUCAAAAAAAGAAAAACAUCCACUAUGUGCCAGACAUGUUGCUAUGCCUUGGGAUUUAGCAGUAUAUGGGGCAGAAAAAAAUCCUUGCUUGGUGGAAAAUGAUUAUAAACAAAGAAUACAGCCUGUGAUGGGUGUUAUCAAGGAAUUAAACAGGAGCUGUGAUGAUGGAGAGCAGGCCCAUUAAAUGAAGCAAUCAGAGAUGGUCUCAAUGAGGAGAUGACAUUUCAGCAUGAAGGUCAGGAAGGAACCAACUAGGCAGAAAGUGGGAGAAGACCAAGCAGUGGGAGCAGCAAGCGCAAAAAUUCAGGGGCAAGAAAGGACUUGACUUUUCCAAUAAAUUUCAAUAAACUUCAA